UGACCAAACAGAACCUAUAACCGAAUAUUGGGUUUGUUUUUUAUAGCUGCACUGCUGAACUGGUGCAAUAAGUUAAAAUGAGACAAUUAUAUUUUUCCUCACUCUAACUUAUUGCACUAGUUCAGCAGUGCAGCUAUAAAGAACGGACCCAUUAUUGUGAGUAUAAUUUACAGAAUUUACAGAAGUGCAAAAGUAAAACUUCUUAGUCAUAUAACUGUAUAUACUUCGGAAUGAGCUAAAGACACGGUGAUCCCAAUUUGAUCACUAUAUCGGAAGAAAAAAGAAAUUAUUGUGAAUAUAAUGUUGAGAAAGAGAGAGAAACGUGAGGAAUUUUGAGUGAAGUCUAGGACAAUAUGAAAGGAAUCCAGGA